CGGGGCGUAGCACAGCCUGGUAGUGCGCUCGGUUUGGGACCGAGAGGUCGAGUGUUCAAAUCACUCCGCCCCGA
rnacentral:tRNA from 3 species